CUCUUAUAGAUUCUAUAGAAUUUGGUUUUUAGGUGAAGAAACCUAAAUAUAAUUAAAAGACAAGAAGACCCUAUCGAGCUUAAAAUAAUUUUUUUGGUAUAAUGAUAACACCUUACUCAAAAAAAGAUUUUAGUUGGGGCGACUAAGGAACAGAAAAAGCUUCCUAUAAGCUAUAGUUACUAAUAAGUAUUGAUCCAAAAAAUUUGAUUAACAGAAUUAGUUACCGUAGGGAUAACAGCAUAAUCUUUUCUAAGAGUCCUUAUCGAAGAAAAGGUUUGUGACCUCGAUGUUGGACUAGGGUGCCCAGAUAGGUGCAGAAGCCUUCAAUGGUUGGUCUGUUCGACCA
rnacentral:rRNA from 1 species